CGACGCCGCGUGCGGGAUGAAGGCCUUCGGGUUGUAAACCGCUGUCAGAGGGGAGGAAAUGCAUGGGGGUUCACCCCUGUGUUUGACCUAUCCUCAGAGGAAGUACGGGCUAAGUUCGUGCCAGCAGCCGCGGUAAUACGAACCGUACGAACGUUAUUCGGAAUCACUGGGCUUAAAGAGUGCGUAGGCGGCUUGGAAAGUUGGGUGUGAAAUCCCUCGGCUCAACCGAGGAAUUGCGCCCAAAACUUCCAGGCUUGAGGGAGGCAGAGGUAAGCGGAACUAAUGGUGGAGCGGUGAAAUGCGUUGAUAUCAUUAGGAACACCUGAGGCGAAAGCAGCUUACUGGGUCUCUUCUGACGCUGAGGCACGAAAGCUAGGGGAGCGAACGGGAUUAGAUACCCCGGUAGUCCUAGCUGUAAACGAUGAGCACUGGAUUGAGGGGACUUCCACAUCCUCUCGGUCGUAGCGAAAGUGUUAAGUGCUCCGCCUGGGGAGUAUGGUCGCAAGGCUG
rnacentral:rRNA from 1 species